rnacentral:rRNA from 1 species
UACGUAGGGUGCAAGCGUUAAUCGGAAUUACUGGGCGUAAAGCGUGCGCAGGCGGUUGUGCAAGACAGAUGUGAAAUCCCCGGGCUCAACCUGGGAACUGCAUUUGUGACUGCACGGCUAGAGUGUGUCAGAGAGGGGUAGAAUUCCACGUGUAGCAGUGAAAUGCGUAGAUAUGUGGAGGAAUACCGAUGGCGAAGGCAGCCCCCUGGGAUAACACUGACGCUCAUGCGCGAAAGCGUGGGGAGCAAACAGG